rnacentral:rRNA from 1 species
AUGAAAUGGUUCGAGAGAUCACCUGCGACAGCGGCUAUGACAAGAUCCAUCUUGAGAUGUGCUAAGGUACUAUGUCUGCGUUCACAGUUGAUGUCCUGGAACCUGUUUUAUUUAUAUAUAGUGACAGGUGAGCGGCUAUUUUCCUGCUGUUGCGAGGCUGGUGAGAUGGACAGAAUUUCUAGUCAACCUUCUGAGCCUACGGCUGCUGCUCCAUCACAGGAAAAAGAAAGACUAUGGCAUGGGAGCAAACUUCUGAGCUUUCAGCAAGCUAGAUGCAAUUCAUCAAGGUCUUGUCCAAACUGCGGUCUGCCUUUUGAAGGCCAUAUUGCCAAAACAACCCUUUCUGAAGUAUGA